rnacentral:rRNA from 1 species
AACGAACGCUGGCGGCAUGCCUAACACAUGCAAGUCGAACGAGACCUUCGUGUCUGGUGGCGCACGGGUGCGUAACGCGUGGGAACCUGCCCUUAGGUUCGGAAUAACUCCCCGAAAGGGGUGCUAAUACCGGAUAAUGUCUUCUGACAAAAGAUUUGUCGCCUUUGGAUGGGCCCGCGUUGGAUUAGCUAGUUGGUAGUGUAAAAGCCUACCAAGGCGACGAUCCAUAGCUGGGCUGAGAGGAUGAUCAGCGACACUGGGACUGAGAAACGGCCCAGAAUCUUACGGGAGGCAGGAGUGGGGGAUAUUGGACAAUGGGCGAAAGCCUGAUCGAGCAAUGCCGGGUGAGUGAUGAAGGUCGUAGGGUUGUAAAGCUCUUUUACCCGGGAUGAUAAUGACAGUACCGGGAGAAUAAGCACCGGCUAACUCCGUG